CCUGUGAGGGUUGCUGGAGGUAUCAGAAGUGCGAAUGCUGACAUAAGUAACGAUAAAGCGGGUGAAAAGCCCGCUCGCCGGAAGACCAAGGGUUCCUGUCCAACGUUAAUCGGGGCAGGGUGAGUCGACCCCUAAGGCGAGGCCGAAAGGCGUAGUCGAUGGGAAACAGGUUAAUAUUCCUGUACUUGGUGUUACUGCGAAGGGGGGACGGAGAAGGCUAUGUUAGCCGGGCGACGGUUGUCCCGGUUUAAGCAUGUAGGCUGAUUGUCCAGGAAAAUCCGGAUAAUCAAGGCUGAGGUGUGAUGACGAGGCACUACGGUGCUGAAGUAACAAAUGCCCUGCUUCCAGGAAAAGCCUCUAAGCAUCAGGUAACAUCAAAUCGUACCCCAAACCGACACAGGUGGUCAGGUAGAGAAUACCAAGGCGCUUGAGAGAACUCGGGUGAAGGAACUAGGCAAAAUGGUGCCGUAACUUCGGGAGAAGGCACGCUGGUGUGUAGGUGAAGUCCCUGCGGAUGGAGCUGAGACCAGUCGAAGAUACCAGCUGGCUGCAACUGUUUAUUAAAAACACAGCACUGUGCAAACACGAAAGUGGACGUAUACGGUGUGACGCCUGCCCGGUGCCGGAAGGUUAAUUGAUGGGGUUAUCCGUAAGGAGAAGCUCUUGAUCGAAGCCCCGGUAAACGGCGGCCGUAACUAUAACGGUCCUAAGGUAGCGAAAUUCCUUGUCGGGUAAGUUCCGACCUGCACGAAUGGCGUAAUGAUGGCCAGGCUGUCUCCACCCGAGACUCAGUGAAAUUGAACUCGCUGUGAAGAUGCAGUGUACCCGCGGCAAGACGGAAAGACCCCGUGAACCUUUACUAUAGCUUGACACUGAACAUUGAGCCUUGAUGUGUAGGAUAGGUGGGAGGCUUUGAAGCGUGGACGCCAGUCUGCGUGGAGCCAACCUUGAAAUACCACCCUUUAAUGUUUGAUGUUCUAACGUUGGCCCCUUACCGGGGUUGCGGACAGUGUCUGGUGGGUAGUUUGACUGGGGCGGUCUCCUCCCAAAGCGUAACGGAGGAGCACGAAGGUUAGCUAAUCCUGGUCGGACAUCAGGAGGUUAGUGCAAUGGCAUAAGCUAGCUUGACUGCGAGCGUGACGGCGCGAGCAGGUGCGAAAGCAGGUCAUAGUGAUCCGGUGGUUCUGAAUGGAAGGGCCAUCGCUCAACGGAUAAAAGGUACUCCGGGGAUAACAGGCUGAUACCGCCCAAGAGUUCAUAUCGACGGCGGUGUUUGGCACCUCGAUGUCGGCUCAUCACAUCCUGGGGCUGAAGUAGGUCCCAAGGGUAUGGCUGUUCGCCAUUUAAAGUGGUACGCGAGCUGGGUUUAGAACGUCGUGAGACAGUUCGGUCCCUAUCUGCCGUGGGCGCUGGAGAAUUGAGGGGGGCUGCUCCUAGUACGAGAGGACCGGAGUGGACGCAUCACUGGUGUUCGGGUUGUCAUGCCAAUGGCACUGCCCGGUAGCUAAAUGCGGAAGAGAUAAGUGCUGAAAGCAUCUAAGCACGAAACUUGCCCCGAGAUGAGUUCUCCCUGAGACUU
rnacentral:rRNA from 1 species